UACGUGGGGUGCGAGCGUUAAUCGGAAUUACUGGGCGUAAAGCGUGCGCAGGCGGUUUUGCAAGUCGAGUGUGAAAGCCCCGGGCUUAACCUGGGAAUUGCGCUCGAAACUGCGAGACUUGAGUGUGGCAGAGGGAGGUGGAAUUCCACGUGUAGCGGUGAAAUGCGUAGAGAUGUGGAGGAACACCGAUGGCGAAGGCAGCAUCCUGGGCCAGCACUGACGCUGAUGCGCGAAAGCUAGGGGAGCAAACGGG
rnacentral:rRNA from 1 species